GAAAUUUACGGGUCAGCAUUAAAUUCGAACAAAUUACAUGCUAGCUUCUUUCUCCAGUUCUGUAUCCACGACUGGUUGAUUCCAUCAACCUUAUGUCCUAUACUUAAAAAUUCAACGUACUUAAUGGCAAAUAUGCCGCAGUCGCCGCUGCAAUUGAACAAGAAUGAAUCAGUUCAGUACUGUGUAAAUAAAAACUAAAUCUGAAAGAUGAAAACAACAAAGUUCAAACACUUACCUUACGGACUGUCGAGCUGUCGUCGUGUUCCGAACGAUCCGCAAUCUGUCUUGUACAUUUAUCCCCGC
rnacentral:lncRNA from 1 species